rnacentral:rRNA from 1 species
AGACCCGAAACCCGGUGAUCUAGCCAUGGGCAGGUUGAAGGUUGGGUAACACUAACUGGAGGACCGAACCGACUAAUGUUGAAAAAUUAGCGGAUGACCUGUGGCUGGGGGUGAAAGGCCAAUCAAACCGGGAGAUAGCUGGUUCUCCCCGAAAGCUAUUUAGGUAGCGCCUCGUGAAUUCAUCUCCGGGGGUAGAGCACUGUUUCGGCUAGGGGGCCAUCCCGGCUUACCAACCCGAUGCAAACUGCGAAUACCGGAGAAUGUUAUCACGGGAGACACACGGCGGGUGCUAACGUCCGUCGUGAAGAGGGAAACAACCCAGACCGCCAGCUAAGGUCCCAAAGUCAUGGUUAAGUGGGAAACGAUGUGGGAAGGCCCAGACAGCCAGGAUGUUGGCUUAGAAGCAGCCAUCAUUUAAAGAAAGCGUAAUAGCUCACUGGUCGAGUCGGCCUGCGCGGAAGAUGUAACGGGGCUAAACCAUGCACCGAAGCUGCGGCAGCGACACUCAGGUGUUGUUGGGUAGGGGAGCGUUCUGUAAGCCUGCGAAGGUGGCCUGUGAGGGUUGCUGGAGGUAUCAGAAGUGCGAAUGCUGACAUAAGUAACGAUAAAGCGGGUGAAAAGCCCGCUCGCCGGAAGACCAAGGGUUCCUGUCCAACGUUAAUCGGGGCAGGGUGAGUCGACCCCUAAGGCGAGGCCGAAAGGCGUAGUCGAUGGGAAACGGGUUAAUAUUCCCGUACUUGGUGUUACUGCGAAGGGGGGACGGAGAAGGCUAUGUUGGCCGGGCGACGGUUGUCCCGGUUUAAGCGUGUAGGUGUGUGUUCCAGGUAAAUCCGGUUCACUUUAACACUGAGGCGUGAUGACGAGGCACUACGGUGCUGAAGCAACAAAUGCCCUGCUUCCAGGAAAAGCCUCUAAGCAUCAGGUAACAUCAAAUCGUACCCCAAACCGACACAGGUGGUCAGGUAGAGAAUACCAAGGCGCUUGAGAGAACUCGGGUGAAGGAACUAGGCAAAAUGGUGCCG